UUGUUCACAAUGGGCGCAAGCCUGAUGACGCAACGCCGCGUGGGGGAUGAAGGCCUUCGGGUCGUAAACCCCUGUCGAAUGGGAAGAAAAGCCCGCGAUUUAACAAAACGCGGGACUGACGGUACCGUUAGAGGAAGCCACGGCUAACUCUGUGCCAGCAGCCGCGGUAAUACAGAGGUGGCAAGCGUUGUUCGGAAUUACUGGGCGUAAAGGGCGCGUAGGCGGCCUUCUAAGUCAGACGUGAAAUCCCCCGGCUUAACCUGGGAACUGCGUCUGAUACUGGGAGGCUUGAGUAUGGGAGAGGGAUGUAGAAUUCCAGGUGUAGCGGUGAAAUGCGUAGAUAUCUGGAGGAAUACCGGUGGCGAAGGCGGCAUCCUGGACCGGCAUUGACGCUGAUGAGCGAAAGCUAGGGGAGCAAAC
rnacentral:rRNA from 1 species